AUGUCGUGAUGAGGAUACUUUCUCAACAAUUCCUUAAACCUCUCUCAUGCGUCAUAUAAUGAUUCUACAUCAUCAUUUUGGAAGAAGUUAUUGAUCUCGCCUCUCAACCU